rnacentral:rRNA from 1 species
UUAGGUGACUAUAGCACUGGGGAUCCACCUCUAACCAUUCCGAACAGAGAAGUUAAGCCCAGUAACGCCGAUGGUACUUUUACGAAGGGAGAGUAGGUAGUCGCCAUUUU